AGACUGGCUUGUCCCGGACGACUGGCGGAAGAUGAGACUUCGGUACCUCCGUUCAAUCGGACAAAGAAGGCCAUAAUAGUCCAGGACAAGAGAAAAAUCCUUGUGGGUUAAACUGCGGUGGGACUGACUGUUACGCAGAAGGCGUAAUCGCAAAACUUCUAUACACUCUGUGUCACGGACACAUUAUUUUCUGGAAUCCUGGAGAAACGAUCAGCAGUUGUGAUGGCACCAGUACCAAAAAUGGCUGUAAGGCGCUUCGGCCGCUGGAUCAGAUGUUGAAACAUUUGUAGCAGACAUACUGAAAGGAGAAAAUUUAUCCAAGAAAGCAAAGGAAAAGAGAGAAUCCCUUAUUAAGAAGAUAAAAGAUGUAAAGUCUAUCUAUCUUCAGGAAUUUCGAGACAAAGGUGAUGCAGAAGAUGGGGAAGAAUAUGAUGACCCUUUUGCUGGGCCUCCAGACACUAUUUCAUUGGCCUCAGAACGAUAUGAUAAAGACGAUGAAGCCACCUCUGAUGG
rnacentral:sRNA from 1 species